GUGCUAAUCUGCGAUAAGCGUCGGUAAGGUGAUAUGAACCGUUAUAACCGGCGAUUUCCGAAUGGGGAAACCCAGUGUGUUUCGACACACUAUCAUUAACUGAAUCCAUAGGUUAAUGAGGCGAACCGGGGGAACUGAAACAUCUAAGUACCCCGAGGAAAAGAAAUCAACCGAGAUUCCCCCAGUAGCGGCGAGCGAACGGGGAGGAGCCCAGAGCCUGAAUCAGUGUGUGUGUUAGUGGAAGCGUCUGGAAAGGCGCGCGAUACAGGGUGACAGCCCCGUACACAAAAAUGCACAUACUGUGAGCUCGAUGAGUAGGGCGGGACACGUGGUAUCCUGUCUGAAUAUGGGGGGACCAUCCUCCAAGGCUAAAUACUCCUGACUGACCGAUAGUGAACCAGUACCGUGAGGGAAAGGCGAAAAGAACCCCGGCGAGGGGAGUGAAAAAGAACCUGAAACCGUGUAC
rnacentral:rRNA from 1 species